rnacentral:antisense_RNA from 1 species
UUGUGUAGUUUUGUGGCCUUUGUGCAAGAUUCAGACAAGGAGUGCAGCGGAAGCUUACACCUGCACGUGGUGGGACAGAGGGAAGUAGGGCUGGUCUGAGGCUGCUGCUGAGAGAACGAAGCUGGAUUAGGAGUGGCUUGAGGGCCCGGCGUCGUCAGUGGUGACCUCUGACCUGAGGCAACUAUAAUGAAUGGAAAGGAAACCGGAUUGUACUUUAAAUCCAAGAACAUUCUCUACUCUCCGGAACAAGUCAUCUGCAGGCGCAGGCAAUGGAGUCCAUGAGGCCAGCUGUACGGCGGCCCGCUCCGGACCCAGGCUUGGCUCCUCACUUUCCGCUGUUUUUAGUGCGGUCCUACAAGUGCCCUGGUGCAGCCUGAGAUGAGUAAUAAAUGCAGCUGAAAUA